rnacentral:rRNA from 1 species
UACGAGGGGUGCAAGCGUUGCUCGGAAUUAUUGGGCGUAAAGGGUAGGUAGGUGGUCUCAUUUGUCUGGGGUGAAAGCCUUGAGCUUAACUCAAGAAGUGCCCCGGAAACGGUGAGACUGGAGUCCUGGAGAGGGUCGUGGAAUUCCCGGUGUAGCGGUGAAAUGCGUAGAGAUCGGGAGGAACACCAGUGGCGAAGGCGGCUCACUGGCCCGAUACUGACGCUGAGGCACGAAAGCGUGGGGAGCAAACAGG